UCCUGUACUACCGAUAACCGUUUGAGAGAAGGGAUGACACAGUAGGAUAAGCUAAGCACACUGUUGGUUAUGUGUGCCCAAGCAUUGAGGCAGUCAAAGUAGGCAAAUCCGCUUUGAUAAUGCUGGGCUGUGAUGGGGAGCGAAAUUUAGUAGCGAAGUAGCUGAUUUCACACUGUCAAGAAAAGUCUCUAUCGAGGUUAAAGGU
rnacentral:rRNA from 1 species